AUCUUAUUAAUUAUACUUUAUUCUUUUUAUUUUGUCUUGAAUGAGAAUUCACGUUUCACGAUAAAGGUACAUGUAAUUAUGGCUUAGCAGUUGUCAUUUCCAAGAAAUUUGACACUUUAUUUAAUAUACAAUGAAAUUUAAUUUUAAAAAAGAAAGAGUGCAAUACGCAUCUAAAUGGUGCAACAUUCUCACAUAAUAGUACAACGUUUACACAAAUGGUGUAAAUAUCUGUACAAAUGGUGUAAAAUAUGCACGGUUUGUACAUAUAUUAUAUAAUUUUUAUAAUAUGCUGUAAUUUAUUAUAUUAUUUUCGUGUAAUAUACUAAACUGUACGUAGUUUAGUGUAAAAAUAAUGCAAAAUGUAUAUUAACAAUUCAUAUGUUGCACUACUUAUACACAUAUUGUACUAUUUGGAAGAGCAUGUUGCAAUAUUUGAGAGGAUGUUGCACUCUUUUAUCUUAUUAAUUAUACUUUAUUCUUUUUAUUUUGUCUUGAAUGAGGAUUCACGUUUCACGAGAAAGGUACAUGUAAUUAUG
rnacentral:lncRNA from 1 species